rnacentral:tRNA from 1 species
CGGAGUGUAGCUCAGCCUGGUAUUAGAGCGCUUGGUUCGGGACCAAGAGGUCGCAAGUUCGAAUCUUGUCACUCCGACCA